AAACUUAACAAGGAUUCCCCUAGUAACGGCGAGUGAAGCGGGAAGAGCUCAAAUUUGAAAUCUGGCGGCAUCCUGUCGUCCGAGUUGUAAUCUAUAGAAGUGUUUUCCGCGUCGGACCAUGUACAAGUCCCUUGGAACAGGGCGUCAUAGAGGGUGAGAAUCCCGUCCUUGACAUGAUCUCCGGUGCUAUGUGAUACACUUUCAACGAGUCGAGUUGUUUGGGAAUGCAGCUCAAAAUGGGUGGUGAAUUCCAUCUAAAGCUAAAUAUUGGCGGAGAGACCGAUAGCGAACAAGUACCGUGAGGGAAAGAUGAAAAGCACUUUGGAAAGAGAGUUAAACAGUACGUGAAAUUGUUGAAAGGGAAACGAUUGAAGUCAGUCAUGCUCUUUGGGUUAAGCCUUUCGGGGUGUAUUCCAUUGAGUGGGGUCAACAUCAGUUUUGACCGCUGGAAAAAGGCACGAGGAAGGUAGCACUCUCGGGUGAACUUAUAGCCUCGCGUCAUAUACAGUGGUUGGGACUGAGGAACGCAGCAUGCCUUAUGGCCGGGAUUCGUCCACGUACAUGCUUAGGAUGUUGACAUAAUGG
rnacentral:rRNA from 1 species